GGGCCCGCACAAGCGGUGGAUUAUGUGGAUUAAUUCGAUGCAACGCGAAAAACCUUACCUGGCCUUGACAUGUACCGAAUUUAGCAGAGAUGCUUUAGUGCUCGAAAGAGAACGGUAACACAGGUGCUGCAUGGCUGUCGUCAGCUCGUGUCGUGAGAUGUUGGUUAAGUCCCGCAACGAGCGCAACCCUUGCCAUUAAUUGCCAUCAUUUAGUUGGGCACUUUAAUGGGACUGCCGGUGACAAACCGGAGGAAGGUGGGGAUGACGUCAAGUCCUCAUGGCCCUUAUGGCCAGGGCUUCACACGUAAUACAAUGGUCGGUACAGAGGGAAGCCAACCCGCGAGGGGGAGCCAA
rnacentral:rRNA from 1 species